rnacentral:rRNA from 1 species
GUGCCAGCAGCCGCGGUAAUACGGGGGGAGCGAACGUUGUUCGGAAUUACUGGGCGUAAAGGGCGUGCAGGCGGCCUCGUAAGUGGAAUGUGAAAUGCCCUGGCUCAACCAGGGAACUGCAUCCCAGACUGCGAGGCUUGAGUAUAGGAGAGGAUGGGGGAAUUCCCGGUGUAGCGGUGAAAUGCAUUGAUAUCGGGAGGAACACCAGUGGCGAAGGCGCCCAUCUGGCCUAAUACUGACGCUCAGGCGCGAAAGCUAGGGGAGCAAACAGGAUUAGAUACCCCCGUAGUCC